rnacentral:rRNA from 1 species
CGUCCGAUUAGCUAGUUGGUAGGGUAACGGCCUACCAAGGCGAGGAUCGGUAGCUGGUCUGAGAGGAUGAUCAGCCACACUGGAACUGAGACACGGUCCAGACUCCUACGGGAGGCAGCAGUGGGGAAUCUUGCACAAUGGGCGAAAGCCUGAUGCAGCGACGCCGCGUGGGGGAUGAAGCUUUUCGGAGUGUAAACCCCUUUCGACUGGGACGAAAACCCGCAAGGGAUUGACGGUACCAGUAUAAGAAGCCCCGGCUAACUACGUGCCAGCAGCCGCGGUAAGACGUAGGGGGCCAGCGUUGUUCGGAAUUACUGGGUGUAAAGGGUUCGUAGGCGGUGCGGCAAGUUGGGAGUGAAAUCUCUGGGCUUAACCCAGAGGCUGCUUCCAAAACUGCUGUGCUUGAGUGUGAGAGAGGCUCGUGGAAUUGCAGGUGUAGCGGUGAAAUGCGUAGAUAUCUGCAGGAACACCCGUGGCGAAAGCGGCGAGCUGGAUCACUACUGACGCUGAGGAACGAAAGCUAGGGGAGCAAACAGGAUUAGAUACCCU